rnacentral:misc_RNA from 1 species
UGUGGGAGCGAGCUUGCUCGCGAUAGCGGCCUGAUAUCCAACAUCAAUGUUGACUGGUCUGGCGCCAUCGCGAGCAAGCUCGCUCCCACA